rfam:Salmo salar isolate Sally breed double haploid chromosome ssa15, whole genome shotgun sequence.
CUAAAUAUAUGGUGUAAGUCGCUCUGAAUAAGAGCGUCUGCUAAAUGACUUAAA